UACGGGGGGGGCAAGCGUUGUUCGGAAUUACUGGGCGUAAAGGGCUCGUAGGCGGCCAACUAAGUCGGACGUGAAAUCCCUCGGCUCAACCUGGGAACUGCGUCUGAUACUGGAUGGCUUGAAUCCGGGAGAGGGAUGCAGAAUUCCAGGUGUAGCGGUGAAAUGCGUAGAUAUCUGGAGGAAUACCGGUGGCGAAGGCGGCAUCCUGGACCGGCAUUGACGCUGAGGAGCGAAAGCCAGGGGAGCAAACGGG
rnacentral:rRNA from 1 species